rnacentral:rRNA from 1 species
AACAGGAUUAGAUACCCUGGUAGUCCACGCCCUAAACGAUGUCUACUUGUUGUUGGUGGAGUAAAAUCCAUGAGUAACGCAGCUAACGCGUGAAGUAGACCGCCAGGGGAGUACGGUCGCAAGAUUAAAACUCAAAUGAAUUGACGGGGGCCCGCACAAGCGGUGGAUAUGUGGAUUAAUUCGAUGCAACGCGAAAAACCUUACCUGGCCUUGACAUGUAACGAACUUUCCAGAGAUGGAUUGGUGCUCGAAAGAGAACGUUAACACAGGUGCUGCAUGGCUGUCGUCAGCUCGUGUCGUGAGAUGUUGGGUUAAGUCCCGCAACGAGCGCAACCCUUGCCAAUAAUUGCCAUCAUUUAGUUGGGCACUUUAUUGGGACUGCCGAUGUCAAAUCGGAGGAAGGUGGGGAUGACGUCAAGUCCUCAUGGCCCUUAUGGCCAGGGCUUCACACGUAAUACAAUGGUCGGUACAGAGGGUUGCCAAGCCGCAAGGUGGAGCCAAUCCCAGAAAGCCGAUCGUAGUCCGGAUUGAGGUCUGCAACUCGACCUCACGAAGUCGGAAUCGCUAGUAAUCGCGGAUCAGCAUGUCGCGGUGAAUACGUUCCCGGGCCUUGUACACACCGCCCGUCACACCAUGGGAGUGGGUUUUACCAGAAGUAGGUAGUCUAACCGCAAGGAGGACGCUUACCACGGUAGUAUUCAUGACUGGGGUGAAGUCGUAACAAGGUAACC